GGGGGCGACAGGUUUCGACGGGGAUAGAGGGGGCAGGGAUAGCAGGUCGAGCAUUCCCAAUAACUCGUUAAACUGACGGGAACCAAAUGUAAGUGCAAACGGUUAUUCUUACGCACUGGCUGCUUAAUGCAGCUCGUUCUCACCGGCCCUGCCUGUUGGGCUGGAUGAGGGCGUCGUAAAAAACAGGCUGGCCUCUCCUUCACGCCGAGGGAGAAGAGGUGAGAUUUUAUCGGCUGGUGCCCUCCGGAUCCCGCUUGUUGGAGCCGGAUGGCAUGAGACUCAAAAAGCAAGCUAAGCCUGUAGAGGUCCCUGUGACCGUAUCUUCGGACGUGGGUUCGAUUCCCACCGCCUCCACUG
rnacentral:tmRNA from 1 species